GCGUCCAGCUCCACGCCAUGAGGACGCCGCACCACAGCACCGCCGUCCCUCUGUCCCUCGUCGCCCCCUUCUCUCCUGCUCCUGCUUGCGCCCUUCUCUAGCAUGCUCAGCUAAUUCGUUUCCUUCCUCUUACCUAUUCCAGGAGCCAUGGAGCCACCUCCUCGCAAGCGGGGGCGCCCGCUCAAGCAUCCCAAAGCCGCCCCAAGCGAUUCUCUCAAGUCACGCGUCGCAUCGGAUUUGAACGAGUACAAUUCUCUCUCUCCUUCCACUCCCGUCCCUGUGGACUUGGCGGACCCUGCCGUGUCGCCUGUCGAUCCUCGGUCGGGCCAGCGUGGGAGGAAGAAGCCCGUGGCGGAGAAGGUAGAAGGGCUGGCUCCUAUCACGCCCGACGGAGGAGGAGGAAGCUCCAGCGAUCGGGAGCUUUCCAAGUCUGUGGGAGACGACAGCGAGUUGCCUGCGGAGGGAGUAGCCAGAAAGAGGAAUAAGAAGUCGUCCCUGGGAAACGCUGACGACAUCAAGGGGCAUGCUCCAUCGUUGGAGGACGCAACGGGCGGAAGAGACGACGACUUGAAAGAUGCUCCGUUCAUGGAUGCUGUGGUGAAAGUGUUUUGCGUGCACACGGAGCCCAAUUUCUCGCUUCCAUGGCAGAGGAAACGGCAAUUCAGCUCCAACAGCAGCGGUUUUAUCAUCAAAGGCCGUCGGGUUUUGACGAACGCGCACUCAGUGGAGCACCAUACGCAGGUGAAGGUGAAGAAACGGGGAUCGGAUACAAAGUACUUGGCCACAGUGCUUGCGAUUGGAACCGAAUGCGAUAUAGCUAUGCUGACCGUCAGCAACGACGAGUUUUGGGAGGAUGUGACGCCGGUGAACUUUGGGUCUUUGCCUCGUCUGCAAGACGGGGUGACGGUGGUGGGGUAUCCCAUUGGCGGUGACACUAUCUCGGUGACAAGCGGCGUGGUGUCACGCAUCGAAGUCACGUCAUAUGUGCAUGGCGCAACAGAGUUGCUGGGCGUGCAGAUUGAUGCUGCUAUAAAUGCUGGGAACUCUGGAGGCCCUGCUUUCAACGACAGAGGUGAAUGCGUGGGAAUCGCUUUUCAGUCGCUGAAGCACGAGGAUGCUGAGAACAUCGGAUACGUUAUUCCCACCCCGGUCAUUGAUCACUUUAUUACGGAUUACGUCCGCAACAACGACUACACAGGGUUUCCGAUUUUGGGUAUCGAAUGGCAAAAGAUGGAAAACCCUGAUCUUCGGAAGGCGCUGGGAAUGAAGAGCACCCAGAAAGGUGUUCGCAUACGACGCGUGGAGCCCACUGCACCUGCAUUCGCACAGUUGCGAGCUUCAGACAUCCUGAUGAGUUUCGAUGGCAUAGAUAUUGCAAACGACGGCACCGUUCCCUUCAGGCACGGUGAACGAAUCGGGUUCAGUUAUUUGGUAUCGAAGAAAUACAGCGGCGAGUGUGCCAAGGUGAAGAUUUUGAGGGAUGGGAAGUCGAAGGAGUUUGAUAUCGAUCUGGUGAACCACAAACGGCUGGUACCUGCGCACAUCAAGGGGAAGCCACCGUCGUACUACAUACUGGCAGGCAUCGUGUUUGCGGCCAUCUCCGUGCCUUAUCUUCGCUCAGAGAAAAAGUGUUUGUUGAUCGGAGGACGUGGAGUUGAAUUUGGGGGUGGAUUUAAUCUUCUGGAUGUGAAAUUUGAACUGGUAUGGGAAGGACUACGAUUAUGACGCUCCAGUGAAGCUGCUGGACAAGCUGCUACAUUCGAUGUCUCAGUCUGAAGAUGAGCAGCUCGUCGUCGUGUCCCAGGUGCUGGUGGCGGAUAUCAACAUAGGUUAUGAAGAUAUUGUGAACACGCAGGUUGUGGCUUUCAAUGACACUCCUGUGAGAAAUCUGAAGCAUUUGGCAAACUUGGUGGAGAAGUGCACGGACCCAUUUCUGCGGUUCGGUCUUGAUUACCAGCAGAUUGUGAUUCUGGAGACCCAGACAGCCAAGGCUGCUACCCCGGAGAUCCUUGCUACCCAUUGUAUACCUUCAGCAAUGUCUCAUGACUUGAAAGUGGAGUGUUGAGGGGGUCUCAGGUGGUAGGUACUUGUUCAAAAGAAUCAUCUCCUGCAUCGGAAGGGCCGAAAUUGAAGGAUGGGUUACUGUUAGCCCUCAGUAUUUUGUAGCGGUGGUUGUGAUGAGUGUUGUACGUCAUCUGCUGUGUGUGAACUUAUUAUAUUUUGGUUUAGGAUGUAGGGUUUAGGGUCAGCAUUUGUUUCCCACGUCGUGAUAAUUAUGCCUCCAGACUGCCGCAUUAUCAAGGGUUAAUUGUUACUAGUUAUUGCAUCUUUACAAAGCUGCCACACUAAUUAGCAACCGCACUUCUAGUUGCAAUGGGCUACUGUGGAUUAAAAUUGUGAAGUUAAGCAAUCAGACAAUGUCUAUACAGUAAAAUUUCCACAAUUCAAGUUGCUGUAUAGCAGUAAUUAAUGUAGAAGUAAUUGUUGAUGUA